rnacentral:siRNA from 1 species
UCCGUCGCAAAUCCCAAGCAGAU